rnacentral:rRNA from 1 species
UUAGGAAUCUUCCCCAAUGGGCGCAAGCCUGAGGGAGCGACACUGCGUGAAGGACGAAGGUUUUCGGAUCGUAAAGCUCUGUUGUUGGGGACGAAGGGCGAAGGGUUAAUAGCCCCUAGCCUGACGGUACCCUUCGAGGAAGCCCCGGCUAACUACGUGCCAGCAGCCGCGGUAAUACGUAGGGGGCGAGCGUUGUCCGGAAUUAUUGGGCGUAAAGAGCGUGUAGGCGGUCUGGUAAGUCUGCCGUGAAAACUCGGGGCUCAACCCUGAGCGUGCGGUGGAUACUGCCAGGCUAGAGGGUGGUAGAGGCGAGUGGAAUUCCCGGUGUAGCGGUGAAAUGCGCAGAUAUCGGGAGGAACACCAGUAGCGAAGGCGGCUCGCUGGGCCAUUCCUGACGCUGAGACGCGAAAGCAUGGGGAGCGAACAGGAUUAGAUACCCCUGUAGUCC